rnacentral:rRNA from 1 species
GACAGAGGUCCCGAGCGUUAGGCGGAAUCACUGGGCUUAAAGCGUGUGUAGGUGGAUGCCUAAGUACUUUGUGAAAUCCCACGGCUUAACCGUGGAAUUGCUUGGUAUACUGGGUGUCUUGAGCCAGCUAGGGGCAACCGGAACAAAUGGUGGAGCGGUGAAAUGCGUAGAUAUCAUUUGGAACGCCAAUGGUGAAAACAGGUUGCUGGGGCUGUGCUGACACUGAGACACGAAAGCCAGGGGAGCAAACGGGG